rnacentral:rRNA from 1 species
UACGUAGGGUGCAAGCGUUGUCCGGAAUUAUUGGGCGUAAAGAGCUCGUAGGCGGUUUGUUGCGUCGGCUGUGAAAUCCCGAGGCUCAACCUCGGGUCUGCAGUCGAUACGAGCAAACUAGAGUGUUGCAGGGGAGACUGGAAUUCCUGGUGUAGCGGUGAAAUGCGCAGAUAUCAGGAGGAACACCGGUGGCGAAGGCGGGUCUCUGGGCAACAACUGACGCUGAGGAGCGAGAGCGUGGGGAGCGAACAGG